rnacentral:rRNA from 1 species
AGUGAACGCUGGCGGUAGGCCUAACACAUGCAAGUCGAACGGCAGCACAGUAAGAGCUUGCUCUUACGGGUGGCGAGUGGCGGACGGGUGAGGAAUACAUCGGAAUCUACUUUUUCGUGGGGGAUAACGUAGGGAAACUUACGCUAGUACCGCAUACGACCUACGGGUGAAAGCAGGGGAUCUUCGGACCUUGCGCGAUUGAAUGAGCCGAUGUCGGAUUAGCUAGUUGGCGGGGUAAAGGCCCACCAAGGCGACGAUCCGUAGCUGGUCUGAGAGGAUGAUCAGCCACACUGGAACUGAGACACGGUCCAGACUCCUACGGGAGGCAGCAGUGGGGAAUAUUGGACAAUGGGCGCAGGCCUGAUCCAGCCAUACCGCGUGGGUGAAGAAGGCCUUCGGGUUGUAAAGCCCUUUUGUUGGGAAAGAAAAGCAGCAGGUUAAUACCCCGCUGUUCUGACGGUACCCAAAGAAUAAGCACCGGCUAACUUCGUG